rnacentral:rRNA from 1 species
CCUACGGGGUGCUGCAGUGAGGAAUAUUGGUCAAUGGGCGCGAGCCUGAACCAGCCAAGUCGCGUGAGGGAAGACGGCCCUACGGGUUGUAAACCUCUUUUGCCGGGGAGCAACGGGCGCCACGUGUGGUGCCACUGAGAGUACCCGGAGAAAAAGCAUCGGCUAACUCCGUGCCAGCAGCCGCGGUAAUACGGAGGAUGCGAGCGUUAUCCGGAUUUAGUGGGUUUAAAGGGUGCGCAGGCGGGCCUUUAAGCCGGCGGUGAAAUCGCGGGGCUCAACCCCGCCGAGCCGUCGGAACUGGGGGCCUUGAGUGCGGCGGAGGCAUGCGGAAUGCGCGGUGUAGCGGUGAAAUGCAUAGAUAUCGCGCAGAACCCCGAUUGCGAAGGCAGCGUGCCGUGCCGCCACUGACGCUGAGGCACGAAAGCGCGGGGAUCGAACAGGAUUAGAUACCCUAGUAGUC